rnacentral:lncRNA from 12 species
AACGCCCAGCACUAUAGCAAGCACUUGGUGGCUUUUCAAUAAAAUGUUUCUUGAAGGAGUGAAUGAAUGGGCAUGUUGACAGAGAAAGAAAAGGAAUCUCCUUCUUGCUACAUUUUUUAUGGACAGAGGACAGUCCUUCCGGUAAAGGUUGGUUCUCUUUGGAUCAGACAGGUGAGGAGUAGGUCCAAACUCCAUCGUGGGCUCCAACCAUCUGUACUCAAACCCCAAGAAGCAAGGCCCAGAUCCCAGAGCUCUCCAAAGACCGAAGGGAGGUCACACAGCCUGGGAGGAAAUAACGUAUUGGGGCAGAGCCAUAGAGAAGAGAAUGCAAAGUCAAGAUUAACACAUCUAAUGAGACCUUUCCAGCU